GACGAAUGCUGGCGGCGUGCCUAAUACAUGCAAGUUGAGCGCUGAAGGUUGGUACUUGUACCAACUGGAUGAGCAGCGAACGGGUGAGUAACGCGUGGGGAAUCUGCCUUUGAGCGGGGGACAACAUUUGGAAACGAAUGCUAAUACCGCAUAAAAACUUUAAACACAAGUUUUAAGUUUGAAAGAUGCCAUUGCAUCACUCAAAGAUGAUCCCGCGUUGUAUUAGCUAGUUGGUGAGGUAAAGGCUCACCAAGGCGAUGAUACAUAGCCGACCUGAGAGGGUGAUCGGCCACAUUGGGACUGAGACACGGCCCAAACUCCUACGGGAGGCAGCAGUAGGGAAUCUUCGGCAAUGGACGAAAGUCUGACCGAGCAACGCCGCGUGAGUGAAGAAGGUUGUCGGAUCGUAAAGCUCUGUUGGUAGAGAAGAACGUUGGUGAGAGUGGAAAGCUCAUCAAGUGACGGUAACUACCCAGAAAGGGACGGCUAACUACGUG
rnacentral:rRNA from 1 species